GAUGCUGUGAAUGCGCUCGGUCAUCCCCUUGCAACUGAUGUCACCUGCAGCAUGUCAACGCAGACACAAAACAGGGCAUGGGUCAGAUCUAGCUGGUUGCAUUCCUAACACCUAGGUUUCAGAGUAAAAAUACAGAGUCAGCUUGUGAUGGCAUUCCCUCAAAACAUGGAAGGAAUUGCAGUAAUGAAAGUCAUCAUGUAUUCUAAGAGACUGUUCUGCGAGAGCACAACACAGACGGGGCUAAAGCAGGGAUUGUCUAAGCCCAGUGUGGAGGAACCAUCAAGGAUUUCAGCACGUUUUUUUAGCCAUUGUACAGUUUGUGAAAAUUAAGUUUUACUCUGUGAAUAAAGAAUUGGAUAGAUAAUUCCAGACAACAUUCUGAAAGACACUUACGCCGUCAUUCCAAAGUUGAAAUGAAAUGAGGGGGAGAAGACUUGCUGGGACUAAGGAAAAAAGUCAAUGAAAUCUGAGUGAGAAGCAAAAGUGCUCAGGAGUUAAGAGAAGCAGACGUCCGAAAUUAUCUCCAUGCAUUACCAAAAACCGUGGGCACCACGGCACGGGGAAAACUUACCAGGUACAAUGAGCCAGUGACUGUUACUGAAUUUCUUAAGAUUACACUUUUCCCAACUACUGCAGACUGCUUCAGAAUAGAAGAAGACAACUCUCAUGCCAUCAAGCCGACGGACUUUCAAAAAAAUAAAAGAUGCAUUUCUUUACUUGUAAGUAUUUGUCUUUGCAAAGGGCUCUCUGAUAUGGUAGCACAGAAGUUUGCACAUUCUAAGGAUCUGAUGUUUUGCCCUCUUCGGGUAUCCCGGCUGGAAGGAGCUACGGUGAAAGGGCACCUAAGGUGAAUGGACAGAUUGUAGAUGGGUGCACACAGGAAAAUGUACAGCUCCUACAAUGUAUUCUGAGCUUUACUAAGGGAAUUAAUUAUCUGGAAGAACAGGAACAUACAGGCCCAUGAGAAGUAAAAGCAGGCACUGGCAUUCUGCACAGAUGAAAUACUUCCUACGACAGGAAUACAUGCUCACUUGUGGACUUCUCUGUAAUCUGUAGGCAACAUCAGCUCCUGAUUUCUAGGUCUGGAUCUGGGUUCUCUGUAGCACAGGAAGGUCUCUACUUCUCCUACAUAAAUGCCUUGCAUGGCGGGAACUAAAUCAACUACACAGACCCAUACAUCCAGAGAGCAGAGGUGAGCUGGAUACAAGUGGCUUAGAGAUGUGGUGGAAGGAGGCCAGAGCUCCAAGGGAAGGGCAGCAAGGAGACAACAGCAUGGGUUGCAGCUCAGACAACAGGUAAAUAAAACCAAGCAAAGCUGCUGGUCACAGAUUUGACCAGGGUGGCAAGAAAUGACAAGCUACCAUGAGAUUCAACAGUGGCACGGAAGGAUGAUGAGAAGCAAACAGAUUAGGAGAAGCUGCCACCACCGUACAUAGAGGCACAGAUGACCAAGCAGAACAGCACCAGUCCCUGCAAGGUGUGCUCAGAUACAGCUCAGCACAGCCAUCUGGCCAGGAGGGAAUGAUAAUGCACAUGGUGUGCACUGCAGCCGGGAAGUUGAGAACCGCUGUGGGCACCUCAGGACUGAGUCUGGUUACCCUGCUGAUCCAAGAAAUGAAGCCAUCUAAAAUUUUGCCUGCUUUCACAAUUUUCUGUGUGUGUGUGUGUGUAUUAAACAAAGUGAACU
rnacentral:lncRNA from 1 species